GGCGUGGUGGCUUAGUGUUUAGCACAUUUGCCUCACAGCUAAGGGGUUGAGGGUUCAAAUCCCACCUGUGUGCA